GGCGGACGGGUGAGUAACGCGUGGGUAACCGUGCCUCAUACAGGGGGAUAACAGUUGGAAACGGCUGCUAAUACCGCAUAAGCGCACAGUACCGCAUGGUACGGUGUGAAAAACUCCGGUGGUAUGAGAUGGACCCGCGUCUGAUUAGGUAGUUGGUGGGGUAACGGCCUACCAAGCCGACGAUCAGUAGCCGACCUGAGAGGGUGACCGGCCACAUUGGGACUGAGACACGGCCCAA
rnacentral:rRNA from 1 species